CAAUAGCGUAUAUUUAAGUUGUUGCAGUUAAAAAGCUCGUAGUUGGAUUUCGGAUGGGAUUUGCCGGUCCGUCGUUACGAUGUGCACUGGCCAGUCCUAUCUUGUUGUCGGGGACUAGCUCCUUGGAUUCACUUCCUGGGACUAGGAGCUGACGAGGUUACUUUGAGUAAAUUAGAGUGUUCAAAGCAAGCCUACGCUCUGAAUACAUUAGCAUGGAAUAACACGAUAGGACUCUGGCUUAUCUUGUUGGUCUGUGAGACCAGAGUAAUGAUUAAGAGGGACAGUCGGGGACAUUCGUAUUCCAUUGUCAGAGGUGAAAUUCUUGGAUUUAUGAAAGACGAACUUCUGCGAAAGCAUUUGUCAAGGAUGUUUNCAUUAA
rnacentral:rRNA from 1 species